UACCUAGCUGGACAGUGUGUCCCAGGU
rnacentral:sRNA from 1 species